UAGCCGCAAUAUUUUGUGCUAAGGUAGCAUAAUCAUUAGUUCAUUAAUUAUGAAAUAGAAUGAAUGAUUACACGAAUAAACUAAUUUUUUUAUUUUUCCCAAAUAAAUUCAUCUUUAAGUUAAAAAGCUUUCAUCUUUUAGAAGGACAACAAGACCCUAACGAACUAUCCACUUUAAGUUCUACUGGGGCGGUCUAUAAAGAAUAUCUUCUUAUCCUAUAUCUUUAAACCAAAUAAAUUUGAUUCUCCAAGUUACCGUAGGGAUAACAGCAUAAUAAUUUUUUAAAGUUCUUAUAUCAAAAAAUUUUUAUGACCUCGAUGUUGAAUUAAAUUCCUAAUCUAAGCAAGAUUAGAGUUAAAUUAAGGAAGUCUGUUCGACUUUUAAUUUUUUACAUGAU
rnacentral:rRNA from 1 species